GGGGCUGUAGCUCAAUUGGUAGAGCGCCACAAUGGCAUUGUGGAGGUCGACGGUUCGACUCCGUUCAGCUCCA
rnacentral:tRNA from 1 species